GACUUCAUAAUCACAGUCAUAAUCGAUUUGGUAUUGAGCUGAAUCCAUUCUGUAACUUAAACAUUAGCUUCAAUCGAUUCGUCAAUCGAUUGUGCUGAUCACAGUGACUCAGACUUUUACAUCAAUCGAUUUUCCAAUCGAUUGUGCUGAUCACAAUGACUCAGACAUAAACGUCAAUCGAUUUGCCAAUCGAUUGUGC
rnacentral:lncRNA from 1 species